GAUGAAGAACGCAGCGAAAUGCGAUAAGUAAUGUGAAUUGCAGAAUUCAGUGAAUCAUCGAAUCUUUGAACGCACCUUGCGCCCCUUGGCCAUUCCGAAGGGCAUGCCUGUUUGAGUAUCAUGAACACCUCAACUCUCAUGGCUCGCCAUGAUGAGCUUGGACUUUGGGGGUCUUGCUGGCCUGUGGUCGGCUCCUCUCAAAUGGAUCAGCUUGCCAGUGUUUGGUGGCAUCACAGGUGUGAUAACUAUCUGCGCUUGUGGUUUUCCAUCAGAUAACCUUCAGUGAUGGAGGUUCGCUGGAGCUCAUAAACGUCUCCCCUAAGCGGGGACAGCCCUUUGAAUGUUUGAUCUCAAAUCAGGUAGGACUACCCGCUGAUCUUAAGCAUAUCAAUAAGCGGAGGA
rnacentral:misc_RNA from 1 species